rnacentral:rRNA from 1 species
CACAUGCAGUCGACGAGGAACGGCAUGAUAGCUUGUAUAAUUGUCAGCUAAGUGGCGCACGGGUGAGUAAUAUAUAGGUAACGUGCCCCAAAGAAGAGGAUAACAGAUGGAAACGCCUGCUAAGACUCUAUAUGCCUUUAUGACAAAAGUCAGCAAGGGAAAUAUUUAUAGCUUUGGGAUCGGCCUGUACAGUAUCAGUUAGUUGGUGAGGUAAUGGCUCACCAAGACAAUGACGCUUAACUGGUUUGAGAGGAUGAUCAGUCACACUGGAACUGAGACACGGUCCAGACUCCUACGGGAGGCAGCAGUGGGGAAUAUUGCACAAUGGACGAAAGUCUGAUGCAGCAACGCCGCGUGGAGGAUGACACAUUUCGGUGCGUAAACUCCUUUUAUAUGGGAAGAUAAUGACGGUACCAUAUGAAUAGCACCGGCUAACUCCGUGCCAGCAGCCGCGGUAAUACGGAGGGUGCAAGCGUUACUCGGAAUCACUGGGCGUAAAGAGCGUGUAGGCGGAUAGGUAAGUCAGAAGUGAAAUCCAAUAGCUCAACUAUUGAACUGC